UUUUUAAAACUACCACCUAUAAAUACAUCUUUAUUGUAAACUGAUUGCACCCAUAUCACUUUUUCAGAAAUUGGGUUCUCCCUCAACUCUCUUGGCUCUGUCUCUCUCUUUAGCCUAGCUCUCUCUCUCUCUCUCUCUCUCCGACAUAGUCAUCUUCCUCCCUCAGCCAUCCAAGCUUAACUCCACAGUUCACAUCCACGAGGGGUUUCUUCCAAAUUGGUUUGAUAGGAAGGUGAUGUUGUUGUUGCUGUCGCUGACAGACUAUUUUUCCUGGGUUGUGGUUGGUGGGUGUUACUGCGAAUGCUUACAAGGUUGCUGAUUCUCCUUCUAAGGUCUCUCUUUCUCUCUAUUUCUUCAAAUUCUAAGGUUUUUUUUUUUUUUUGGGUUACUUUUUUUUGAUUUCUUUUGCUAAUUGUAAUUGGGCCUUUGUUGCAGAGGUGGAUUUGUUUUGUGCCCAAAAGAUUGUGACUUUGUUGAAAGUUCGUAAAUGGAAAAGACAGCUGCCCCCUGCGGCUUGGAACGCUCAAUUCGGAGGGUCUGAAGAACAACCAUGUAGUAAGAAAGUUGGAGAAGCAUCAACAGAUUUGCACCAUUGACCAACAUAUUGAAGAGCAAUUUGGUGGUGGUUGUCUGUUGGCUUGUAUUAUAGCAUGGGUUCGUCCGAGUGCUUAACGGUGUUUAUCAUGUUUGCAUCUCAUGCCUUAACUCCCUCAGUUUUCUCGGGCAGCUGUCAGAUUGUUUGAAAAUAAUUGUCUACUUUUAAUUUGUUGAAGACUCACCUUGUUAUAUGUUCAUAGCCUUACAUGGCACAUAAACUGUUUCCAUUUUGAAGUUGAACUAUUUCGUA